rnacentral:rRNA from 1 species
GAUGAACGCUGGCGGCGUGCCUAAUACAUGCAAGUCGAGCGAAUGAUGAGGAGCUUGCUCCUCUGAUUUAGCGGCGGACGGGUGAGUAACACGUGGGUAAUCUGCCUGUUAGACGGGGAUAACUCCGGGAAACCGGGGCUAAUACCGGAUAACAAGAGAAGAAGCAUUUCUUCUUUUUGAAAGUCGGUUUUGGCUGACACUUACAGAUGAGCCCGCGGCGCAUUAGCUAGUUGGUGAGGUAACGGCUCACCAAGGCGACGAUGCGUAGCCGACCUGGGAGGGUGAUCGGCCACACGGGGACUGAGACACGGCCCAGACUCCUACGGGAGGCAGCAGUAGGGAAUCUUCGGCAAUGGGCGAAAGCCUGACCGAGCAACGCCGCGUGAGCGAUGAAGGCCUUCGGGUCGUAAAGCUCUGUUGUUAGAGAAGAACAAGUACGAGAGUAACUGCUCGUACCUUGACGGUACCUAACCAGAAAGCCACGGCUAACUACGUGCCAGCAGCCGCCGCAG